rnacentral:tRNA from 32 species
GGGCUAUUAGCUCAGUGGUAGAGCGCGCCCCUGAUAACUGCGGGGCGAGGUCUCUGGUUCAAGCCCAGGAUAGCCCA